AUUGAACGCUGGCGGCAUGCCCUACACAUGCAAGUCGAACGGUAACGCGGGGCAACCUGGCGAUGAGUGGCGAACGGGUGAGUAAUAUAUCGGAACGUGCCCAGUAGUGGGGGAUAGCCCGGCGAAAGCCGGAUUAAUACCGCAUGAGACCUGAGGGUGAAAGCGGGGGAUCGCAAGACCUCGCGCUAUUGGAGCGGCCGAUAUCAGAUUAGGUAGUUGGUGGGGUAAAGGCCUACCAAGCCGACGAGUCUGUAGCUGGUCUGAGAGGACGACCAGCCACACUGGGACUGAGACACGGCCCAGACUCCUACGGGAGGCAGCAGUGGGGAAUUUUGGACAAUGGGCGCAAGCCUGAUCCAGCCAUGCCGCGUGCGGGAAGAAGGCCUUCGGGUUGUAAACCGCUUUUGUCAGGGAAGAAAUCUUCUGGGCUAAUACCUCGGGAGGAUGACGGUACCUGAAGAAUAAGCACCGGCUAACUACGUG
rnacentral:rRNA from 1 species